rnacentral:rRNA from 1 species
UACACUCCUGCGGGAGGCAGCAGUGGGGAAUAUUGGACAAUGGGCGCAAGCCUGAUCCAGCCAUGCCGCGUGAGUGAUGAAGGCCCUAGGGUUGUAAAGCUCUUUCACCGGUGAAGAUAAUGACGGUAACCGGAGAAGAAGCCCCGGCUAACUUCGUGCCAGCAGCCGCGGUAAUACGAAGGGGGCUAGCGUUGUUCGGAUUUACUGGGCGUAAAGCGCACGUAGGCGGACUAUUAAGUCAGGGGUGAAAUCCCGGGGCUCAACCCCGGAACUGCCUUUGAUACUGGUAGUCUUGAGUUCGAGAGAGGUGAGUGGAAUUCCGAGUGUAGAGGUGAAAUUCGUAGAUAUUCGGAGGAACACCAGUGGCGAAGGCGGCUCACUGGCUCGAUACUGACGCUGAGGUGCGAAAGCGUGGGGAGCAAACAGGAUUAGAAACCCGGGUAGUCCCAUGA